AAGCGAAACGGGGGGGCAGCCCCCGUCUGCCCAGCGUGGUGGCUGGGCACUGAUGAGCAGCCAUUC
rnacentral:hammerhead_ribozyme from 1 species